UCCGUUGUGGUCUAGUGGCUAGGAUUUGCCGCUCUCAAAGAGUCUCAAAGAGGGUCCGACUCGCUCUGUGAAGCGCCGGCAAGGCCCGGGUUCAAUUCCCGGCGACGGAA